rnacentral:lncRNA from 1 species
CGUCCUCCGUCUCGUCGCAGCGGCGCGCGCUCCGUUCCUCGUCUUUGCCAUUGCUAUUCGAUCGAUUCGCACCCCCUAUUUUUAUUUCUUUAUAGUUGUGUGGGAGGUUUUGCUGUUGGUUCUUUCUCCGUGAAGAGAGUCCAAGCAGACGGGCGGUCUGAAUCUGAUGCCGUGUUGAUUCGUCUGCAACUUUCAUGCCUUCCUUUGGGGUGGCAUCCGAGAGAAAGCGGCAAAACUAUCUCGCCCCAUCUGCUUGUUAAUGUUUUCCUUCGAUUUUCAUACUUGUGUUUUCCUCAAAGAAUUGGUGCUGUGAUGAAGAUGCUUAAUUAUUUCUAUGUCUGGACAUCUGAGUUCAAUAUCUGUGAUUGGUUUAUGCAUCAAUCUGAGCCCUGAACAAUUCGACCUUUUUUUCUCGUGCUUCAAUUUAUUGUUGCGCCUAGCUUAACUGCUUCUUGGGAAGGGUUCAGUCGUUGAUUGAACCCGAGGAAUCUGAGAAAACAAAGCUGGUGCGGAGAGUGAGAUGGUUAACUUACCAACCCUUUGCAUCUUUCGCAUUGCUCUGGAGUCAAAUGGUUUAAUCAAAAUUUCUUCUUGAGUCUAUAUCCGAU